AAUGCGACAUUAAAUCUUCUAAUCUACGACACGAGAAAACAUAUAAGUACUAAAUUAUACUGAUACAUUCAUUUAAACUAAAGUAAUAGAAUUACAUGGAUUUAUUUCGACAAUCUUUCACAAAAGAAAUUUGUUUUUUUAAUAAGUACAUAUUCAUUAUAAUAUUACAUAGUGAAAUAAAGUUUUUCUAAGUCACUUCUUAAAAUAAUAAAAUAGUAAUGUAUUUUAUUAAAACUUAUUAUUACUAAGAUGCAUUUCCAAAAACACAAUAGUAGAUAGGUAGGUUAGAGUGGGCUCGCUAAUUCCAUGUACAUUUCCAUGUGUUGGUAUGUAGCUAAGCAUAUUAUUUCGGGCGGCAGCGGUAAAAGCGAGCUAGCAGGCACACGUGGCGACGACGGGGACUGGAAGAAUGUUCGGUAUUUAGGUUGCGUUUCGGGUACCUUUUUCAUUCAUUGCCGUAACACUGCACCUCGGUCUCGUGGCGGAGUUACUUCUUUAACUUCUCGAGUCAGUUCGAUGGGUACAUACAUAGGUUGGAGAAAAGUUUCUUCGCAUUUUUUAAGAAAAUUCACAACAUUUUUUAAUAUAGUUUAUUUAAAUUUAACUAAAGUAUGUAGGUACCAUUUUGUUCGAUAGCUUUUUGCUAUCUUGUAGGUGGCAAGAAGGGACAUGAAGUAGGGACAUGAAGCCAGAUACAAAUAGUAUAGCCAAAGAGAUUUUAUUACAAGUUCAUACAUACUAUAAUGCAAAAAGACUUUUUCUCCGACCUAUUACAUAGUUUCAUUGACAUUUCGUGUAUAUCAGUUUAACAUUACAAAAUACGAAAUAACUUUAAUUGAAUAAGUGUGGACGUCAAAUAUUAAAAAAACAGUCCCGAAAAGCUUUAUGUAAUUGAAAUUAUUGAAGAACUAGGUACAUCAGACAAACACAUGUAAAAACAUACACAAAUUCUAAAUAAAUAAAAAAGUACAAAACAAACAUGAACAAUCAACAAUUUUAAUAAACUGUUACAAGACUAGGUACCUACGGAGUGUUAGUAGUUGUCCUGUUAUCAAGCACUCGCAUUGACACAAUAAACGCGGUUGAACUCUAUUUGUAUUAAACAUUCCGACUGUUUCGUUUCGACUACAUUCUCUCAUUAAUUGUGUGAGAUGACAUAUUUUCACUUCUAAAACUCAGGUGUGGCCGAGCCGUCAAAUUAGUCGGAAAGGAAUGUAGCCCUAGAAAUUUUCACUGUAAAAAGAAAGUUCCACGGGAUGCAUGAGAGCGAACGCGCGCGCGCGCGAAGCGACUUCCGACGCGUACGCAGGUCGACUGCAUCAAAAAUGAGUGACAGUGGUGUAGAGUCGACGCCGCGGUGAUGCGGUCGUCCCUUCCCGGAUAUCGUCGAGCAAGUCUUAGUAGUUUUUAAAAUAGAGAAGUUAACGGAACGUGUGCACCGCCCGAAAGCGCCAGUCGCUUUACCCCAACCCGAAAUGUGUCACUUGUUGUUAACGCGGCGUGGUAUUCGUUCGUUCCUAGCAGAUUUCAACAGAAACGGGCACGCCACAGGGUGAACGGCACCAACCGACUACCUACCUACCACACACUGCCUACAAACAACCAACAAUAUCCAAACCUCACAAAAAAUAUUCUCAAUAGAAGCCGCAUAGCACCGCGCAGACCUCUACCGAAGAUGUCCAACUUCAAACCUCUUUUGUUUUUUAUGUUUAUCUGAUCUGGAAAUGUUUUUGUUUUUAUUUGUCUCGAUAUAUGUUUAUAGUUACUAUUGAAUACUAACAACCAAUUAAAUUAAUUAUGUACUUGAAAUUGUUACAAGUAAAAUAGGUACCUGUUUAAUAUUGAAAAA